rnacentral:piRNA from 1 species
UGCUUUGUUCUGAGAGCUUUU